GGUUAAGCGACUAAGCGUACACGGUGGAUGCCCUGGCAGUCAGAGGCGAUGAAGGACGUGCUAAUCUGCGAAAAGCGCCGGCGAGGUGAUAUGAACCUUUGACCCGGCGAUGUCCGAAUGGGGAAACCCAGUGUGUUCCGACACACUAUCGUUAACUGAAUACAUAGGUUAACGAGGCGAACCGGGGGAACUGAAACAUCUAAGUACCCCGAGGAAAAGAAAUCAACCGAGAUUCCCCCAGUAGCGGCGAGCGAACGGGGAGCAGCCCGGAGUCUGAAUCAGCUUGUGUGUUAGUGGAACGGUCUGGAAAGUCCGACGGUACAGGGUGAUAGUCCCGUACACGAAAAUGCACAUGCUGUGAACUCGAAGAGUAGGGCGGGACACGUGGUAUCCUGUCUGAAUAUGGGGGGACCAUCCUCCAAGGCUAAAUACUCCUGACUGACCGAUAGUGAACCAGUACCGUGAGGGAAAGGCGAAAAGAACCCCGGCGAGGGGAGUGAAAAAGAACCUGAAACCGUGUACGUACAAGCAGUGGGAGCACCUUCGGGUGUGACUGCGUACCUUUUGUAUAAUGGGUCAGCGACUUAUAUUCUGUAGCAAGGUUAACCGUAUAGGGGAGCCGAAGGGAAACCGAGUCUUAACUGGGCGUUAAGUUGCAGGGUAUAGACCCGAAACCCGGUGAUCUAGCCAUGGGCAGGUUGAAGGUUGGGUAACACUAACUGGAGGACCGAACCGACUAAUGUUGAAAAAUUAGCGGAUGACCUGUGGCUGGGGGUGAAAGGCCAAUCAAACCGGGAGAUAGCUGGUUCUCCCCGAAAGCUAUUUAGGUAGCGCCUCGUGAACUCAUCUUCGGGGGUAGAGCACUGUUUCGGCUAGGGGGCCAUCCCGGCUUACCAACCCGAUGCAAACUACGAAUACCGAAGAAUGUUAUCACGGGAGACACACGGCGGGUGCUAACGUCCGUCGUGAAGAGGGAAACAACCCAGACCGCCAGCUAAGGUCCCAAAGUCAUGGUUAAGUGGGAAACGAUGUGGGAAGGCACAGACAGCCAGGAUGUUGGCUUAGAAGCAGCCAUCAUUUAAAGAAAGCGUAAUAGCUCACUGGUCGAGUCGGCCUGCGCGGAAGAUGUAACGGGGCUAAACCAUGCACCGAAGCUGCGGCAGCGACGCUUAUGCGUUGUUGGGUAGGGGAGCGUUCUGUAAGCCGUUGAAGGUGUGCUGUGAGGCAUGCUGGAGGUAUCAGAAGUGCGAAUGCUGACAUAAGUAACGAUAAAGCGGGUGAAAAGCCCGCUCGCCGGAAGACCAAGGGUUCCUGUCCAACGUUAAUCGGGGCAGGGUGAGUCGACCCCUAAGGCGAGGCCGAAAGGCGUAGUCGAUGGGAAACAGGUUAAUAUUCCUGUACUUGGUGUUACUGCGAAGGGGGGACGGAGAAGGCUAUGUCAGCCGGGCGACGGUUGUCCCGGUUUAAGCAUGUAGGCGGAGGUUCCAGGUAAAUCCGGUACCUUAUUAACGCUGAGGUGUGAUGACGAGGCACUACGGUGCUGAAGUGAUAAAUGCCCUGCUUCCAGGAAAAGCCUCUAAGCAUCAGGUAACACGAAAUCGUACCCCAAACCGACACAGGUGGUCAGGUAGAGAAUACCAAGGCGCUUGAGAGAACUCGGGUGAAGGAACUAGGCAAAAUGGUGCCGUAACUUCGGGAGAAGGCACGCUGAUAUGUAGGUGAAGCCCCUGCGGGCGGAGCUGAAAUCAGUCGAAGAUACCAGCUGGCUGCAACUGUUUAUUAAAAACACAGCACUGUGCAAACACGAAAGUGGACGUAUACGGUGUGACGCCUGCCCGGUGCCGGAAGGUUAAUUGAUGGGGUUAGCGGCAACGCGAAGCUCUUGAUCGAAGCCCCGGUAAACGGCGGCCGUAACUAUAACGGUCCUAAGGUAGCGAAAUUCCUUGUCGGGUAAGUUCCGACCUGCACGAAUGGCGUAAUGAUGGCCAGGCUGUCUCCACCCGAGACUCAGUGAAAUUGAACUCGCUGUGAAGAUGCAGUGUACCCGCGGCAAGACGGAAAGACCCCGUGAACCUUUACUAUAGCUUGACACUGAACACUGGUCCUUGAUGUGUAGGAUAGGUGGGAGGCUUUGAAGCGUGGACGCCAGUCUGCGUGGAGCCGCCCUUGAAAUACCACCCUUUAAUGGCUGGUGUUCUAACGUAGACCCGUGAUCCGGGUUGCGGACAGUGUCUGGUGGGUAGUUUGACUGGGGCGGUCUCCUCCCAAAGAGUAACGGAGGAGCACGAAGGUUGGCUAAUCCUGGUCGGACAUCAGGAGGUUAGUGCAAUGGCAUAAGCCAGCUUGACUGCGAGCGUGACGGCGCGAGCAGGUGCGAAAGCAGGUCAUAGUGAUCCGGUGGUUCUGAAUGGAAGGGCCAUCGCUCAACGGAUAAAAGGUACUCCGGGGAUAACAGGCUGAUACCGCCCAAGAGUUCAUAUCGACGGCGGUGUUUGGCACCUCGAUGUCGGCUCAUCACAUCCUGGGGCUGAAGUAGGUCCCAAGGGUAUGGCUGUUCGCCAUUUAAAGUGGUACGCGAGCUGGGUUUAGAACGUCGUGAGACAGUUCGGUCCCUAUCUGCCGUGGGCGCUGGAGAAUUGAGGGGGGCUGCUCCUAGUACGAGAGGACCGGAGUGGACGCAUCACUGGUGUUCGGGUUGUCAUGCCAAUGGCACUGCCCGGUAGCUAAAUGCGGAAGAGAUAAGUGCUGAAAGCAUCUAAGCACGAAACUUGCCCCGAGAUGAGUUCUCCCUGAGAC
rnacentral:rRNA from 3 species